rnacentral:rRNA from 1 species
UACGUAGGGUGCGAGCGUUAAUCGGAAUUACUGGGCGUAAAGCGUGCGCAGGCGGUUAUGUAAGACAGAUGUGAAAUGCCCGGGCUUAACCUGGGAACUGCAUUUGUGACUGCAUGGCUAGAGUGUGUCAGAGGGGGUAGAAUUCCACGUGUAGCAGUGAAAUGCGUAGAUAUGUGGAGGAAUACCGAUGGCGAAGGCAGCCCCCUGGGAUAACACUGACGCUCAUGGCAACGAAAGCGUGGGAGCAAACAGG